UGGAAGUCUUCAUGUGAAAAAGGCGGAAAUGACAUUCCAAUGUGUCAGGGUCGCCAAGAGGACAAUGCAACUUCGAAGAUUUUUGAUACAUUUCGUGCCUUGUAUGUCAAGUAUUUUAUUUGAAUGACUGUAUCAAGGAUCCAUCACACUGUUUGCGCUUCUUUAAAUCUCCGACCAACACGCUAUAGUAUCAAGCUGUAUGGAAAACGUUAUGGACCGACUGGAGGUUUGAAUGUGAAAAGUGGAUUUUUUCUCAUGACGUCCAUAUUUAAAGUUUUGAAUCUAUCCAAGACAUACGGAUAACUUGGGGGUUAACAUGGUUAAAAUGGCGAAGAAGAAUAACAAAUUUCUGCUACCUUGACGUUGACGAGAAACUGCAGGACCUGACCAUGUUGACAGCAAUAUUUGUCAACAUGCAGAGGAGUUUUUUUGGACCCCAAUACAUUAAAAGACAAGUGUCCUGAUCCAGAUAUUAAUGGUAUUAAAUGCAGUUUUUCCAAGAAAGCAAAACAAUGGAGCAGAACUGAAGUGUUAUUUCAAUAGAACCAUGAUCUGAUUGAUCAAGUGAAAGAUGAUACCAGUUGUGAACGUUGUCGAAACACUACAGCAAGCAAAGAGAGUAGUAAUCAUCAAUACAUGUAUUACUCCUGUUAAUAUUCAUCAGAGCAAAAAGAAUUUUCAAUAUUGAAAUUUGAAAAAUAUUUAAAUUUGCAGUUGAAAAACUCACUUAUUUUACAAAUUCAAUAUCAAGUAAGAGCAUCACAGCAAAGUGUCCUACAAGGAACAGGCAUUGGACGUGGAGUUCAAUAAGAGCCUACAGGAAAAUGUAUUGGUUGGGCUUUAAAAUCCAGAAAAUGAUUCUCCCAGAAAGUGAACAAUUACUUGUCUAUGAUACGUGAAGAAUGUUAGAGAGCAGUAAUUUGUCCAGAUUGUGUUAAGCCACUGUUUUAUGGCAGAAGAAGAAAGUAAUGAAU